GAUCAAGAAUCCAAAGAAGAACGAGGAAAAGAAAAAGUUGCGGAAUAGUCUCAAAAUUUCAAUAUCUUCUACAAAUUAGCCGGAUUGACUUGAAGUGAAGUGGGUAGAUCGGAUCAACACAACAAAGCACACUAUCCAGAUCAAUUCCGGUAGCUUUUGUUUUAUGUUUGAAGAUUUAUAUGGCAUGUAUAGAGUUUGAAUGAAUUGAAGUAAAGAUGUUAUAAACUAGUUAAUAAUAUUUGUACUAAAAUAGUUUUCGGUAAGUAGCAGUAGUUUGACUUUGAAAAAUCACUAAAAAUAGUAGAAAUGGAAUUAAAUAAUGAAUAAAUUAUGGAAUCGAA